rnacentral:tRNA from 1 species
UAGAGCAGCUGGUAGCUCGUCGGGCUCAUAACCCGAAGGUCGCAGGUUCAAAUCCUGC